rnacentral:rRNA from 1 species
UACGUAGGUGGCAAGCGUUGCUCGGAUUUACUGGGCGUAAAGGGCGCGUAGGCGGACAGUUAAGUUGGGGGUGAAAGCCCGGGGCUCAACCUCGGAAUUGCCUUCAAUACUGGCUGUCUUGAGUGUGAGAGAGGUGUGUGGAACUCCGAGUGUAGAGGUGAAAUUCGUAGAUAUUCGGAAGAACACCAGUGGCGAAGGCGACACACUGGCUCACUACUGACGCUGAGGCGCGAAAGCGUGGGGAGCAAACAGG